CGAAAAUUGGUCACAGAGUAAGUACGUGGUAUCUGAUCCGAGAACUGUGUGGCCUGAAUGUGUUUACAAUCCGAGGGACUUGUUGCUUGAGUGUGUAUCCGGAUUUUUUGCUUGAGUGUGGAUAGUGCUUCCAAUGGUUUAACUAAUUUCUUAUGAGAUUAACUUGUCACCUGAGUGUGUAUCCGAUCCGAGCCUCAAGUUAAUGAAUAAAUCUACAGAGAUGAUGUUUUACUUAGCUGUCUCUGUCUACAGUAUAUACAGAGAGGUAGCCUCUCCUUUUCUUUUUUCUGUUCUUUAUCACAAUAAGAUAAAUUACUGUUUUAAC